rnacentral:antisense_RNA from 1 species
AACACGACAUUGCUCACAUUGCUUCCAGUAUUUCUUAUAGCCAGCUUGGGUGCUGGCUUUUUUUU